AUUAUAGAAAAAGCAGAAAAAAUUACACCUCCAAUAAUUAAAGAAGAAAACAGAAAAUUCAAGCAUUACCUCCCCUAGCAUGCAAACACCUUCAAAUAUGGAUGGUGGGUUUGCAUCUCACUCACUGACUUAUCAGCGAGGGAGACCACAGUAUUUUAGUGCCCACCGGAACUGGGCAUAAUGGGAAAGAACAUAAAAAGGAAUAGAUUAAAGCUGGGAAGCGAGAGAUAAUCUCAAGACACAGCAUUAGAUUAAUUAAAGAAAGGCCCUUCUUUAAUUAAAGAUUUGGAUGUAAAGCAUGUAGCAGACAGCUCUGUUCAAUUUCCACAUCAUUCGCAAUGGACAAAUGUAAACAUCAAAUCUUUGAGAACAAACUAUGCCUAAAUUCCUAUACCGUCUCUUUUCUUCUCUUUUUUCAUCAGCUUCUUUCUUUGCACCAAUUAUACUAAAAAAAAAUUAACGAGCAAA